GCGCGGGUGGCGGAAUGGCAGACGCGCUAGCUUGAGGUGCUAGUCCUCGAAAGGGGGUGGGGGUUCAAGUCCCCCUCCGCGCACUA
rnacentral:tRNA from 2 species